rnacentral:lncRNA from 10 species
GGGGAGGGGCGGCGAGGCGAGGCCUGCGGAGCGGAGGAAGACAAACAUAAAGAUGAAGUGCUUAAUUCAAGGUCACACAAUGUCGGGGAUGGACCUCCAGAUUUCCUUACUGGUGAGACGUGGUCUUGUAACACAGUGGUUAAGAAUGUGACUUUGGAGCCAGCCUGCUAGGGGCUGAAUUCUGACUCAGCCAUUUACUAACUGUGUGACCUUAGGUGGAGUCUCACUCUGUAGCCCAAGCUGGAGUGGCGUGAUCUCGACUCACUGCAACCUCCGCCUCCUGGGAUCAAGUGAUUCUCGUGCCUCAGCCUCCUGAGUAGCCGGGACUACAGCUCAGCAAGGCCCACAUUUUCCCGGUGAAGCCACAGAACCACAGGGAGAAACCCAUGGACUUCGCCUCUCUCUCUAGUUCCCUGAAGUACAUGGGAGGAGGCAGGGAAGCUUCUCGGGGGAGGAGCAGCACCGGCAGGGAGGCCGAGGGGCAGCAGUGCGGACAGGGAGUCAGGUGACGUGAAAGGAAAGGGGACCAGAUGUGCAGAGGUAAUGAAUACCA